ensembl:lncRNA
GAAAUAGACAAGUUAUGAACCUGAAUUAUCACUUUCCAAGUCAGUAAGGUUAUACACGUUGACAAUACACAAAGACACUAUAAAGAGGGUAAGUAAGGAUUCUGACACGGCGCUCAAUGAAUAUGAGCAGAUCCACAAAGUCAGCUCUUUGAUUGCUGGUUUCCAUGAUGCUGUGAGCUGUCGCCCUCUAUUGUUCUCUCAUUUUUAAUGGUAAUUUUGACAUAAUGGCUCUCAUGUUUACCAGAAUAUCCGAUUGCUGCAUGUACUGGAGCUCCUUCAUGACAUUGGAGCAAGAACAAAGCAGACUCGAAGCGUGUUUACCAUUCACCAAUUUUAUUAUUUGCACGUCAAAGCCUUUUCCAUAAAUGCAGCUGCAAUCUUAUAUUGGUUUCCAAAGUAAUCCUGUAGAAGUCCCAUAGAAACUGCAUAGCCACGCUAUAGAGCCAUAUGCUGGCAACUUCGCACCAACUCUUGGGGCUGUCCUCCUGUAAACUGUUCCAAAUAGUACAGAAAAUCUGCUCUUCCUGCCUUUUCCUCAACGCCUUCAAAACCCUCGAUAAAGGCUCUGUACCGAAGAGGGUCUUGUUACAUUAUAGGAAUUUAUUGUGGUGGCAGAGAUGAUGAGCACUGAGUAGCUGUUAUUUCAUUUUGCCUGUACAUGAUGGACAGAAUAUCUCCUAUGGCGUUAUAUUUGUGCCACAAUCUUGAGCGCGUAAUUUUAAGUUUUGAGCACAGAGAACUAUGUUGUAGCAAAGAAAAACAUUCCGUGCGCGCAGUUUACUGAUUUGUGGCGACGGCACCUCAGUAAACUGCGCGCACGGAAUGUUUUUCUUUGCUACAACAUAGUUCUCUGUGCUCAAAACUUAAAAUUACGCGCUCAGGAUUGUGGCACAAAUAUAACGUCAUAAUCUCCCGGCGUGUUUGGAUUGUUUUGAUCAUGGUUUGUGGAAUGUGCUGCGACGGAUCCUACAACAUCACGAUGGACAUCAGCCACAUGGAAGAAUUCAACUGUUGUGCUAAUAUGAAAGCUCUGGUAACCAAGCUACCUUACAAGCUGAGGAAAAGAUGGAGGCAAAUAGCUUGUGACAUUCAGGAACAGCAAAACAGAAAAGUCAUUUUUAAAGACCUCGAUGGCUUUAUCCGCAGACAAGCCAAAAUCGCUGUGCAUCUAAUAUUUGGUGAUAUAAGGAUAGCCA